rnacentral:lncRNA from 10 species
GUACAAAUAAUAUACAGAUAAAUAAUAAAGAUGUUCAUGCUGUUAACCUUCAUAACCUGCUGGAGUAGGGUUAGGAACUGAGACAAAGACUGCCUGAUUAGGACUUGAUUCUCGAUGAUGAGACUGAGCUAAAGCAGGAAGGAAAAAUAUUCAUUCAACAAGCAUUUUGAAGCUUCCAGACAUUGUGGAUCAGUAUUGCCUCUGCAUCUUCCUCAGUUCUUCAUCUCUCCCCAUUCUUCUAGUGUCCAGAACAACAGACAUGACAACUAAGCAGGUAGACUUAGAUCUUUUCCAGAAGACUGGGGAGGGGAAGUUGUGAAGACUUACACUUUUUUGGUUGUCGCCCUUAUUGCAACUGCUUCUCUAACUAGAGUACUUGUACCCCUGGGGGCAUGCAGUGGCAAACUAGGCAGUUUAAAGGUAUAGAAUAAACAAGUUAUAUCUUCCUGGGGCAUUGAUUUUAUUUGAAGAUUUGGGGUUAAAACAUUUUUAUAUUAAAACAAACAUAUGUAUUAUGGAAUAGAAUGCAGAAUUCACGUGAAUUCCUGAGAUAAAACAUAAGACUUCAAAGAGAUGUGCUGUGGUGGGGCUGCUUCAGGCGCUGCCCCCAGCCUCCCUGGAGGACACUCUCAGGCUCCUCUGCCAGAGGGAACUUUGCUGGGUGGAGACGUUUGAAAAGCUCUGGUAUAUCCCACCUCCAAGAAUGGCCCAGCUUGCAGGCAGAGCAGUGCAGGGUGUCUCCUGAGCUCUGAAACUCAUAUAGAUCAUUGUGGGGAGCCCAGAAACCAGGGAAUAAACUAGAAUAGGGUGUUCUUAAUAGCAGAAAGGCCUGGCAGGCUGCCGCAGGACAGCUCCAAGAACUUGCUCCAUGUUCGAAGAGGACUAAAAUAGCCAAUUUCUCCCAGUCAUGGGGAUGCAUCACCUGGGGGCCUGUCAUUUCCUUGGAAGAAGUGGAAUGGAUUAUGGUUAUCAGGAAAGAAGCAACUAACUCACUUUUAUUGCAGGGAAACUUAGUCUCCAGCUGCUCCCAGGGGACAAACGAAUUCAUACGCACACCUACACACAGAGGCUCCACACACCUACCUGCUGUCCUCAGAGCCAGCUGGAGAGGGGAAAGAGAGCAAAUGUGAUUAAUGGGGCCACCCCAGGGGACUUGCUGGAUGGCAAGCAAACCUGCAGGUACCACGGAGCCAAUUUCAGUAACAGGUUUAAGGGAUCCCUGAGACAGAAGGAAAUGCAGCUGACUCAGCCAUUCCGGCCUCCUCUAAGUCCAGAGGGAGCCUUGGGAGGAAAGGAGCUGGAGAUUGCUGCAGAGAUCGGUGCCAGGGGAAGCUUAACACUCACACCUCCGUUGCAGCGGCAGGGCUGAUGGAGGAGAUGCAGGCAUUGCUAAGGGAUGAAGGAACUUAUUCCAUGCAUAGAGGUAACUCUGGUCUCUGUCUUGGCCAGUGUCAAAACGAAACAUGAUACUAAAUAUUCCUACAGUGCUUUAUAAUUUUCAGAGUAUUUUCAUGAAUAUUAUCUUCUUCAUUUUUAUAGUAAUUUUGUGAAGAGGAUAAAAGAGGUUUGGAAAGCUUAUUAAGUUUUUUUUUUCUUUUUCUGUUUGUUUGUUUUGGCAGGAGGUCAUAGAGUCAGGGCUGGAAACAUGGACUUGGCCUUGAGGCCAGUGUCCUGUCUCCACUCUUCCAUGUCAUUACCAGAUGCGAUGGAUUUCUUGGCAGUCAGUGUUGCCAAACAUUAAAACCAGGGACCAAGGAGAAGGUGCAGGAGAGAAGGUUCUCUGAAGCUAUGAAGAGAAUGGCCAGGACCUCCUUCUGUGCUUCCCUCCUUGCUACCUGUGUGGUCUUAGACAAGUUCCUUAACCUCUCUGAGCUUUUGCAAAAUAAGGAUGACAUACAUAUAUCACAAGGAUUACUAAAAUAGCUUACGUUACAUGUUUGGCAUGAUGUCCAGCACACACUAAGUUAUCAAUGAAGAUGAGUUGUUAUUAUCACCAUUUUUCUUUUUGAAAAUAGAAAAGAAAUUUUCAUUAGCUUAGAGAGGAACCAGAAAAUCUCUCCAGCCCCUGGUAUGUCAGAGAUUUUUCAAAAGACACUAUUAAUCCAAAGAAGGCAGCAGGAAAAAUCUAAACCCCAGAAUAAUUUGUGAAUAAAAUCAUAUUUGAACUAGCAACUGUUUACCAAAAAAACUUUAUAUUUACACACACACACACGCACACACACACACGCACACACACACACACAUACAGAGUUGACCCUUGAACAAUAAGGGCUUGAGCUGUGAGCUGUGUGGGCCCACUUAUACAUGGAUUUUCUUCUGUCUUAGCUACCCUGAGACAGCAAGACAAACGCCUCCUCUUCCUCCUCCUCCUCAGCCUACUCAACAUGAAGACAUUGAAGAUGAAGACCUUUAUGAUGAUCCACUUCCACUUAAUGAAUAGUAAAUACAUUUUCUCUUCAUUAUGAUUUUCUUAAUAGCAUUCUUUCUUUAGCUUACUUUAUUGUAAGAAUACAGUAUAUAAUACACACACAAAAUAUGUGCUAACUGACUAUGUUAUUGGGAAGGCAUUCAAUCAAGAAUAGGCUUUUCGUAGUUAAGUUCCGUGAGAGUUAAAAGUUAUAUGUGGAUUUUUGAUGGCAUAUGGAGUUGGUGCCCCAACCUCCGUAUUGUUCAAUGGUCAACUCUAUAUAUACAAAAUAUAUACAUACAUAUUAAAAACAUGUUGGAGCUAUCUUCUCCGCAGUGCACAUUGUGGGCUCCCAAUCACUACAGCUGAACGACAGUGGGGAAGGGAGAGCUUCAGAGAAUCUUCUUGUGUCUCUUGCACAAAAUAAGCAGGCAGACUCCAGGGAACUGUGGGGAGGACAGCACCAGCUGGAGGAGGGGGGUCGGGCCUUCAGCCCACCCCUGUCUGGUUGUGGCCUCUUCCGGAGCUCACUUGGCAAAGGUCUAUAUUGUUUAACUCCAGGACUGCAGCAGGAGUGAACAAGAUCCUGUUUGUGACCUUGUACCCCUACUCACGGGGAGGGCCCCCAUCUCCGGAUGCCCUUUGAAACCUUUGAGAAUCAUAGUAUGUAGGAGACUCACACUGGAACUGGGAACCGACUUCUUUUACAAAGAAAGAAGCAGAGGCUCAGAGAGGCAAGGCAAUCUGCCCCGGAGCCACACAGCAAUUUCUCAUCUUUACCCGACUGUCUGGCAUCCAUGUGGGCUUCCUGAGGCACUGUCCACAGCUACGGAAAAUCACUGCAAGCUGCAGGCGCGGAGCAGGGGGUCGAGCCACAUCUGCUGCGCGGUGUCUCCCCGGCUCCAGGCUGAACGCCAGCCGCGGGAAAAGCGUGUCUUCCGAGGCUCCCCGAGUCCUUGACCAGGACUCAGGCACAAUGCAAACAGGAGAACAAUAGGGAGUGUGUGAGGGAGCCCAGCCGGACAGGGUAUUGAUCAUGUUUAAAAAAAGAAACACACACCGAGGAGCACAGAAAAACCUUACCAACGCACCAGCUGGCUUAGCUAAUUAGCGCGGGUGAGCCGUGUCAGCCGCCAGCUCGGAGCCAGGAAGAAAAUAAUUCGCUCAACAAACAGAACAUCUAAGGAGGAACAAAAAUAAAACAGCCACUGUCCCCACACCUCUGGAGAAUCUGUGCCGUCCAGGGAAGGGGGAUGUGAUGGGGUGGAGGUGGCGCUGAGAGUGGGAUGGAAGUGGGAAGUCAGGAAGAAGGUGGGGAAAAUAUAAGCUCGGGGCCAGGGGAAGGGCCAAGGCGGCACCCAGCACUGAGCAAGGUAUCAUGGUGCCAGGCCUGAGCUGCCCGGCCCCGCCACCGAAGGAACUGUGUCGACUCUCGAAGCAGGGGCUCCGAGCCCGCCUCUGUUUUGGGGGUUCUUUAGCACCAGGCACUAAGAUUCCUCUUCUGGGGAGUUUACUUACCAUGGAGGAAGCAAGGGGGCAGUGCUUGGGCAGAGCCUGCAGGCCUGAGCCCGGGAAGGAGGCCUCACCCACAGCAGGCGAGGCACCGGGAGGUUGUUUGGUCUGUCGCAGAUGAGAGGAUGUCCAGGAAGUCCCUCAAUUUGAAUUCGUGUAGCCAGUGCUGAAUGCCCAUACAUGGGCCUGGCCUACAGGCUUCUGCCUGUGAGAGCUGUGGCCCCAUGGACUACACCUCCCAGAGGACAAGACUGGUGCAUGCUGCCCAGGGAGGGGAGGGACAUCGGACAAUUUCGGCUCCUCAAAUGAGGAUACUCCCAGGAGGCAAUGUGAUAGAGUGGAAAGAGUGUUGGGACCAGAUUCAAGAGACUGUGCUUGAGCCCAGCUGUCUUACUCCCUACUUAUGUGAUAUUUAAUAAGUCACCCCAUCCCUGUGGACCUCAGUUUCAUCAUCUAUACAAUGGGAGUUAACUCACAAAUUUUCUGUGAAGAUCAUCUGUGACAUUAUAUAUACCAAAAUAUCAAGUCCUUUUAAAACCAUAAAGUACAAGUGUUAUUAGGAAGUAUCACAUUAAAAGAGAAUCCCA